AACGCGAAGAACCUUACCUACCCUUGACAUGGUCGGAAUCCUGCUGAGAGGUGGGAGUGCUCGAAAGAGAACCGGCGCACAGGUGCUGCAUGGCUGUCGUCAGCUCGUGUCGUGAGAUGUUGGGUUAAGUCCCGCAACGAGCGCAACCCUUGUCCUUAGUUGCUACGCAAGAGCACUCUAAGGAGACUGCCGGUGACAAACCGGAGGAAGGUGGGGAUGACGUCAAGUCCUCAUGGCCCUUAUGGGUAGGGCUUCACACGUCAUACAAUGGUCGGAACAGAGGGUUGCCAACCCGCGAGGGGGAGCUAAUCCCAGAAAACCGAUGUAGUCCGGAUUGCACUCUGCAACUCGAGUGCAUGAAGCUGGAAUCGCUAGUAAUCGCGA
rnacentral:rRNA from 1 species